GGUUAAGCGACUAAGCGUACACGGUGGAUGCCUAGGCAGUCAGAGGCGAUGAAGGGCGUGCUAAUCUGCGAAAAGCGUCGGUAAGCUGAUAUGAAGCGUUAUAACCGACGAUACCCGAAUGGGGAAACCCAGUGCAAUACGUUGCACUAUCGUUAGAUGAAUACAUAGUCUAACGAGGCGAACCGGGGGAACUGAAACAUCUAAGUACCCCGAGGAAAAGAAAUCAACCGAGAUUCCCCCAGUAGCGGCGAGCGAACGGGGAGGAGCCCAGAGUCUGAAUCAGUUUGUGUGUUAGUGGAAGCGUCUGGAAAGUCGCACGGUACAGGGUGAUAGUCCCGUACACCAAAAUGCACAGGCUGUGAACUCGAUGAGUAGGGCGGGACACGUGACAUCCUGUCUGAAUAUGGGGGGACCAUCCUCCAAGGCUAAAUACUCCUGACUGACCGAUAGUGAACCAGUACCGUGAGGGAAAGGCGAAAAGAACCCCGGCGAGGGGAGUGAAAUAGAACCUGAAACCGUGUACGUACAAGCAGUGGGAGCACCUUCGUGGUGUGACUGCGUACCUUUUGUAUAAUGGGUCAGCGACUUAUAUUUUGUAGCAAGGUUAACCGAAUAGGGGAGCCGUAGGGAAACCGAGUCUUAACUGGGCGUCUAGUUGCAAGGUAUAGACCCGAAACCCGGUGAUCUAGCCAUGGGCAGGUUGAAGGUUGGGUAACACUAACUGGAGGACCGAACCGACUAAUGUUGAAAAAUUAGCGGAUGACUUGUGGCUGGGGGUGAAAGGCCAAUCAAACCGGGAGAUAGCUGGUUCUCCCCGAAAGCUAUUUAGGUAGCGCCUCGUGAACUCAUCUUCGGGGGUAGAGCACUGUUUCGGCUAGGGGGCCAUCCCGGCUUACCAAACCGAUGCAAACUCCGAAUACCGAAGAAUGUUAUCACGGGAGACACACGGCGGGUGCUAACGUCCGUCGUGAAGAGGGAAACAACCCAGACCGCCAGCUAAGGUCCCAAAGUCAUGGUUAAGUGGGAAACGAUGUGGGAAGGCACAGACAGCCAGGAUGUUGGCUUAGAAGCAGCCAUCAUUUAAAGAAAGCGUAAUAGCUCACUGGUCGAGUCGGCCUGCGCGGAAGAUGUAACGGGGCUAAACCAUGCACCGAAGCUGCGGCAGCGACGUUUAGGCGUUGUUGGGUAGGGGAGCGUUCUGUAAGCCGUUGAAGGUGACCUGUGAGGGUUGCUGGAGGUAUCAGAAGUGCGAAUGCUGACAUAAGUAACGAUAAUGCGGGUGAAAAACCCGCACGCCGGAAGACCAAGGGUUCCUGUCCAACGUUAAUCGGGGCAGGGUGAGUCGACCCCUAAGGCGAGGCUGAAAAGCGUAGUCGAUGGGAAACAGGUUAAUAUUCCUGUACUUGGUGUUACUGCGAAGGGGGGACGGAGAAGGCUAGGCUGGCCGGGCGACGGUUGUCCCGGUUUAAGCGUGUAGGGGGAGUGACCAGGUAAAUCCGGUUGCUUAUCAACCCUGAGGCGUGAUGACGAUGCACCACGGUGCAGAAGCAGUUGAUGCCAUGCUUCCAGGAAAAGCCUCUAAGCAUCAGGUAACAUUAAAUCGUACCCCAAACCGACACAGGUGGUCAGGUAGAGAAUACUCAGGCGCUUGAGAGAACUCGGGUGAAGGAACUAGGCAAAAUGGUGCCGUAACUUCGGGAGAAGGCACGCUGGCGUUAGGUGAAAGGACUAGCUCCUGGAGCUGAAGCCAGUCGCAGAUACCAGCUGGCUGCAACUGUUUAAUAAAAACACAGCACUGUGCAAACACGAAAGUGGACGUAUACGGUGUGACGCCUGCCCGGUGCUGGAAGGUUAAUUGAUGGGGUCAGCCGCAAGGGGAAGCUCUUGAUCGAAGCCCCAGUAAACGGCGGCCGUAACUAUAACGGUCCUAAGGUAGCGAAAUUCCUUGUCGGGUAAGUUCCGACCUGCACGAAUGGCGUAAUGAUGGCCAGGCUGUCUCCACCCGAGACUCAGUGAAAUUGAACUCGCUGUGAAGAUGCAGUGUACCCGCGGCAAGACGGAAAGACCCCGUGAACCUUUACUAUAGCUUGACACUGAACAUUGAGCCUUGAUGUGUAGGAUAGGUGGGAGGCCUUGAAGUGUGGACGCCAGUCUGCAUGGAGCCAACCUUGAAAUACCACCCUUUAAUGUUUGAUGUUCUAACUCGGCCCCAUGAUCUGGGGUGAGGACAGUGUCUGGUGGGUAGUUUGACUGGGGCGGUCUCCUCCCAAAGAGUAACGGAGGAGCACGAAGGUUAGCUAAUCACGGUCGGACAUCGUGAGGUUAGUGCAAAGGCAUAAGCUAGCUUGACUGCGAGAGUGACGGCUCGAGCAGGUACGAAAGUAGGUCUUAGUGAUCCGGUGGUUCUGAAUGGAAGGGCCAUCGCUCAACGGAUAAAAGGUACUCCGGGGAUAACAGGCUGAUACCGCCCAAGAGUUCAUAUCGACGGCGGUGUUUGGCACCUCGAUGUCGGCUCAUCACAUCCUGGGGCUGAAGUAGGUCCCAAGGGUAUGGCUGUUCGCCAUUUAAAGUGGUACGCGAGCUGGGUUUAGAACGUCGUGAGACAGUUCGGUCCCUAUCUGCCGUGGGCGUUGGAAGAUUGAGAGGGGCUGCUCCUAGUACGAGAGGACCGGAGUGGACGAAUCACUGGUGUUCGGGUUGUCAUGCCAAUGGCAUUGCCCGGUAGCUAAAUUCGGAAGAGAUAACCGCUGAAAGCAUCUAAGCGGGAAACUUGCCUCGAGAUGAGUCUUCCCUGGGGCUUAAAGCCCCCUGAAGGAACGUUAAAGACUAUGACGUUGAUAGGCUGGGUGUGUAAGUGCAGCGAUGUAUUGAGCUAACCAGUACUAAUGAUCCGUGAGGCUUAACCUU
rnacentral:rRNA from 1 species